CAAAUCUUUUAUGUUCUUGCACGAUUAAAACCUCAGACUGAAAUCUAGAACCCAAGAUAUACUGAGGCCACAUUUCAAGAGUGAGCUAACACCUGGUAAAAUAGUGACUUGAGAAAAGGGCCUUUGCAAACAAGCCCUAAAGGUACUGGGGAGAUCUACUUUUACUCUAACUAGAAGAUCACAAGGAUGCAUGACACUGAGGAAAUUGUGGAAAUACAUACUUUAAAAAUGAGAAAAGUAUAAGAAAGAAAGCAAAAUGAAUGGAAACUUUGACAUA